rnacentral:rRNA from 1 species
UACGGAGGAUGCAAGCGUUAUCCGGAAUGAUUGGGCGUAAAGCGUCCGCAGGUGGCAAUGUAAGUCUGCUGUCAAAGCGUCUGGCUCAACCAGAUAAAAGCAGUGGAAACUACAUGGCUAGAGUGCGUUCGGGGCAGAGGGAAUUCCUGGUGUAGCGGUGAAAUGCGUAGAUAUCAGGAAGAACACCGGUGGCGAAAACGCUCUGCUAGGCCGCAACUGACACUGAGGGACGAAAGCUAGGGGAGCGAAUGGG